AUGACUUAUACCACAUGCAUGAAUAAGUGUAGUAUCUGUUCUUAUCAGUUUAAUAUCUGAUACCUCGUUCAUAGAACCACAUGAUAUUAAAUGUAUUUUUUUAGGGGGAGGGCCCACUCACAAUAGCUUGCUAUUGGGGCUCUCAGGCAUCGCUUGUGCAUUGCACUAUUGAAUUUUAUUUGUUUUUGUA
rnacentral:snRNA from 1 species